CAGAGUGUAGUUCAAUCCGGUAGAAUAUUCCCUUUGGGAGGGAAAGGUUAUCGGUUCAAUUCCGGUCUCUCUGA
rfam:Sphaeroforma arctica JP610 cont1.8682, whole genome shotgun sequence.